rnacentral:rRNA from 1 species
GAUGAACGCUGGCGGCGUGCCUAAUACAUGCAAGUCGAGCGAACGGACGAGAAGCUUGCUUCACUGAUGUUAGCGGCGGACGGGUGAGUAACACGUGGAUAGCCUACCUAUAAGACGGGGAUAACUUCGGGAAACGGGAGCUAAUACCGCAUGAUAAUUUGAACCACAUGGUUCAAAAGUGAAAGACGGUCUUGCAUUAACUUAUAGAGAGAUCCGGGCGUAAUUAGCUAGUGGGUAAGGAAAGGCUUUACAAAGCCAACGAACCUUAGCCGACCUGAGAGGGGGACGGCCAAAAUGGGAACUGGGCAACGCUCCAGACUCCUAGGGGGGCAACAGGAAGGGAAUUUUCGCAAAUGGGCGAAAGCCUGACGGAGCAACGCGGGGUGAGUGAUGAAGGUUUUCGGAUCGUAAACCCCUGUUAUAAGGGAAGAACAUAUGUGUAAGUAACUGUGCACAUAUUGACGGUAACUAACCAGAAAGCCACGGCUAACUACGUG